GAGAGAAAAGGAGAAAGAACAGGGAAAAGCAGGGUGGUAGAAAUCACAGUUAUAACCUCUUCCGGGCAGGAUGGUUGCUACCCACAAAAGGAUGCUCUAAGUACCAGGCAUGAUGUUGGACACAUAGUAAGGAUCAUGGAAAACUGGAUUCAAACCCUGACUCUGCCUCUUCUACUUCAAAUGUCCUUGGGCCAUCUGUCCUUGAACUUCAGACCACCCUUCACUAAGGCAUGGCAUCGUCUGGCUGUGGACCAUCAGCUUGCCUUUCACUUGUGUGCACCUCUCUCCUUGCUCCUCAGGCCCUCUUGGAGCCUGGGAUGGGUGAAGGCUUGGUACUUCACCAGCCUGUGGAUUCUGC
rnacentral:lncRNA from 1 species